CUCUCCCUCUCUCGUUUUCAUAUCUACUCUGAAUUUCUCAAAAUACCACGGGAACGCAUAAAAUCAAUCGAUUCCCGUUGGCCUUUCACCUUCCGUCUCUCUCUCUAUCUCUCUCUCUCUCUCUAUCUCUAUCUCUUCCAGACCCGCCCGCAUAAUCUGAAAGUUCGGGGAAAGGUUUUUCCGUCCGUUUGCGUCAUCAUCGCAGGCAACUUCAACCGAGGUGGUUGUCGUUCGUGCGACCAAUCGCGUGCGCAACGUUUCACGCUUGGACAGGUUUCCAUUGGAGACAGCAUCGUCCUCCCACUCAUCCUCGUUAAGGGUCGUGCCACCUUUGCUCGGUGUUUUUCUUUUUUUUGUGAAUACUUUUCCAAAAGGGGCUUUAACGAUAAUUAUUUAUAGUUCCCCGGACCAAAUUCUUACGUUGCCCUGUUUUUAUUUACAUAGCUUGCGUUUCGUUUACACAGAGCACAAAUGUAACGGAAAGGGAUACGAAGAGAGGAAUUUAGUUUCUUUCUGAGAGGACGACACGUGCUUGCCGAGGACCAGAGUUUUCAGACCGAUCGACGGUUGCAAUCGUGGAUCCCACUGGGCUGAAUUAUCAAGGACUCCGUUCGUUUCAUAGCACGCGUCCUCGUUGGAGAUUCUUGGAAAUAUCGCGAUGAUUUCGGGGUCGAUGGGCCGUCUGCGAAGGACGAGCGAUCCUCAGGGAUCUGGGAGCGUGGCGACAAGAGGGGAGAAUGUGGAGGUUGGCCGGGUGAACCCAGGACCUUUGGAGCUGCCUAGAUCAAUAGCAAGGAUUUCGCUGCAGCAACGCGCGUAAACUCGUUUCGUUAUCGUCUCCGUCCGAGUCGUCAUCGAACGGAAUGGAAAUGAAAACGAGUCAAACGAUUCUGUUCGAAUACUAUCUCUAUUACUCCACGUAAUAAUUGAAUUAUUAGAGAACAUUCGUACGCGCAAGUAUUUUUUGCAAGCGUUGACGCGGACACCUUUCGAAUUCUCUAAUCGAUUCAUCGCAUCGUAUCGAUCGAUUCUUUUAUCUCGAAAGACGUAGACGUUCGCAAGGAUUAUUUACCUGAAUCGUAUGAAACACGUUUCUCUAUUUAUUUUUUUUUCUUAUUCCUGUGCCGGAUCUUACCGGUUCGCUCUGACAAGCUUUUCGACGCGGGUAUAUUUAGCGUUUGUGUUUACCGGUGCUAUUUUAACGCGUGCUAGAGAUUAGUGAAGUAAUAUUUUGGUGUAUUUUUACAUUUGUCGAGAUAUUUUUAGAGACCUAUCAAAGAGAUCCAGGGUGGGAGAGAUAGAGAGAGGCAUAUAUAAACGUUUGAUAAGACACUGGUUCGCACAUAGAUCUUGUUGUUAGUACACUUAGCGCACUCUCAUUUACUCGCGCCGUAGUCGAUACGUGUCAUUAUCGGCGUAGGUAAUAAAUCACAUUGUCUGAAAACUCACCACGAUGGUAAAAUCCUUUGGGACGAUAGGAAAAGCGUCGCUACGGACGAAUCAACGCAUGGAUCGUACAACACACUGAAUACGAUCCCGGUGAACUUUCAAUUGUUCUUUCACGUAUGAUCGUCUGUUCCCCGAUACGGUCUCACAAUUACAUUUUCGCAGCGACAACGUGCUACAAUCGGAAACACGAAUGACACGAGUACCAAAGCAAUUAACGCGAAUACGGUAAACGACGGGAAAUCGUUUAGAAUUCCUCAAAGUUCUCACAGAAGUCCAAGGAAACUGUUAACAACGGGUAACUAAAACACGGAACGGCUACGUCGUUCGAUGUCACAUUUUCAGCAAUGCGCGCAUGUCGCGUCUGGAGCCGUCGCGACGCCCUGCGUCGCUUUUAUAGACCCGGCCGAGACGCGCAGACGUAGAUCGAAAAAGGACGUCGAAGCAUCGACGACGCGACGAUCAAACACCCGCGUAGUUCCUGGUCGUUUCUUUAUUUCUGAUGAUGAAACUGUGUACGUCGUUUCAUGGAAAAACGAUCGUUUCCUUCCUUUCAUUGUCGAAUGCCGAUAAUUAGACGAUUGGAAAGUCGAGAACCGUAGAGGAUUUUCAGGGUUGCAGAGGAUCGUUGGGAUUCGUUUUAGGCUUAUUAAUUCGUCUUUGGAAACUAGCCGGUAUUUGGCGUAUCGAGUAUUCAUGAUUCUUUGGUAUCGAGCCAAGGCAACUAUUUUUCACGGAGAAUGUUUUGGACCCGCGACGAAGGAUGAAUUAACGAUUUUCUCUCGUGUCCUCUCCGAAUCUUCUUACUAUCGUGAGAUUUUAUUUUGAGAAGCUUUUAGGCUCAGUAACUUUUAGGAUUAGUGUCACACUGUGCUACGACCUACAGAAUAUUGGCUUAAUCCUUGAUUAGGGUAGACAUAGGGGUUCCUAGGUUCAAGGUCUAUUUUUAUAAAUUAGAAUCACGUCGAGUAGCGAAACAAAGGAGUUCCAGGGUCAAAAAAUAAAGGCUUUCUAGUAUACAAAGGAGUGCAAUGUACGCGUUCUAAUUCAUGUGGAACUUCUCAUUUAAGCCAAUCAUUCUUACAGCUGAAACGUGCCCCUCAUCCACAAACAGUGCGUCACCGUUCCUGUAAACACUGUGUCAUUCGUUCUCUACGAACCCAGCCCCAACCUAGCCUCCGUGCUUCGGUCCUUCACCGGAACCCCCUGCGAUACUUCAUCCCUAACUGGUAUCGUGCAUUCGCAGAACGUAACCGUCGAGCCACUUCACCAUCCAAAAAUACACCAUUAAAGAGGUAAUGCAGAGAAAUGAAGUCUAACUCUUCUGCGUAUCAUCUAAUCAUCAGGAACUACUACCGCUCAUUAGGACGUAAAUGUGUCGUUACCACUAACUUCCAGUUCAAGUCGCAGUCCAUUUAAUCGUUGUAUCCUUGAAAGAAACUUUGUAAGUUACUUUGGAGAAUAAGUCGUGUCAGAGUCUGCUUGGAGCGGUCAAUUGUGUGUAAUACCGUCGUUACAGCAGUAUUCAGCGUUUAAGCGGUAUUCGAUCGAAUCGAUGAGGCACGCGCCCUCACUCUCGCCUACGAUGGCCAAAUAACGCGUUCACCCCGACGUGGAAUUCAGUCUAUACCAGAAAGUAUUUUUAAAAUGUAUGUCAAGUAUACAACGUUCAUAGGGAUGGAUCGUACAUACCGGUGCAACGACAGCAAUAUCGAUGAUAUAAAUAGAGAAAGCCAGUCCGAUGGCAGUAAUGCGAUGUGUCGUACGACUAUUCCGUUUCGAUUCGUUAAAGAAAUCACGCAGAUUCCCGCUGAAAAAUGUUGACGCGUUUCGCUGCGUCUCGACCACAGAUACGCGCCCAACCUCGUAGACCUUUAUGAAAUCCGACUACAAUGUUCGAACCAACGUUCAGGUGGGUGUCACGGAAGUGCAUUUUGCUAAAAAUUAUACGAGA